rnacentral:rRNA from 1 species
UGACGAAGCGACGCCGCGUGAGCGAAGAAGGCCCUAGGGUUGUAAAGCUCUGUCGGGGGUUAUGAAAUGCAGGUUGGUUAAUACCCAACCUGUUUGACAAAGGCCCCAAAGGAAGCCACGGCUAACUCUGUGCCAGCAGCCGCGGUAAUACAGAGGUGGCAAGCGUUGUUCGGUAUUAUUGGGCGUAAAGAGCACGUAGGUGGUUUUGUAAGUCAGAUGUGAAAGCCUUCUGUUCAAAGGAAGAACGGCAUCUGAAACUGCAGAUCUUGAGUGUAGGAGGGGAGAGUGGAACUUCUGGUGGAGCGGUGAAAUGCGUAGAUAUCAGAAGGAACGUCGGCGGCGAAAGCGACUCUCUGGCCUAUUACUGACACUGAGUGUGCGAAAGUUAGGGGAGCAAACGGGAUUAGAUACCCCGGUAGUCCUAACUGUAAGCGAUGGGCACUAAGUAGAGGG